rnacentral:SRP_RNA from 2 species
GCCGGGCGCGGUGGCUCACGCCUGUAAUCCCAGCACUUUGGGAGGCUGAGGUGGGUGGAUCGCCUGAGGUCAGGAGUUCGAGACCAGCCUGGCCAACAUGGUGAAACCCCAUCUCUA